AGAGUUUGAUCCUGGCUCAGGAUGAACGCUGGCGGCGUGCCUAACACAUGCAAGUCGAGCGGUAUAUAUUUAAAUGAAANNNNNNNNNNNNNNNNNNNNNNNNNNNNNNNNNNNNNNNNNNNNNNNNNNNNNNNNNNNNNNNNNNNNCAGAGGGAUAGCCUCGGGAAACCGGGAUUAAAACCUCAUAACGCGAGAGAAUUUCAUGAUUCUUUCGCCAAAGAUUUAUCGGUAUGGGAUGGGCCUGCGUCUGAUUUAGCUAGUUGGUAAGGUAACGGCUUACCAAGGCGACGAUCAGUAGCCGACCUGAGAGGGUAAUCGGCCACAUUGGAACUGAGACACGGUCCAAACUCCUACGGGAGGCAGCAGUGGGGAAUAUUGCACAAUGGGCGAAAGCCUGAUGCAGCAACGCCGCGUGAGCGAUGAAGGGCCUUUGGGUCGUAAAGCUCUGUCCUUGGGGAAGAAAAAAAUGACGGUACCCUUGGAGGAAGCCCCGGCUAACUACGUGCCAGCAGCCGCGGUAAUACGUAGGGGGCAAGCGUUAUCCGGAAUUAUUGGGCGUAAAGAGUGCGUAGGUGGUUUUAUAAGCGUGAGGUGAAAGGCAAUGGCUCAACUAUUGUAAGCCUUGUGAACUGUAAGACUUGAGUGCAGGAGAGGAAAGUGGAAUUCCUAGUGUAGCGGUGAAAUGCGUAGAUAUUAGGAGGAACACCAGUGGCGAAGGCGACUUUCUGGACUGUAACUGACACUGAGGCACGAAAGCGUGGGGAGCAAACAGGAUUAGAUACCCUGGUAGUCCACGCCGUAAACGAUGAGCACUAGGUGUUCGGGGUCGCAAGGCUUCGGUGCCGCAGUUAACGCAUUAAGUGCUCCGCCUGGGGAGUACGCACGCAAGUGUGAAACUCAAAGGAAUUGACGGGGACCCGCACAAGCAGCGGAGCAUGUGGUUUAAUUCGAAGCAACGCGAAGAACCUUACCAGGACUUGACAUCCCUCUGAAAGUCGCUUAACCGUGACCCCCCUUCGGGGCAGAGGUGACAGGUGGUGCAUGGUUGUCGUCAGCUCGUGUCGUGAGAUGUUGGGUUAAGUCCCGCAACGAGCGCAACCCUUGUCAUUAGUUGCCAGCAGUUUCGGCUGGGCACUCUAGUGAGACUGCCGGGGAUAACUCGGAGGAAGGUGGGGAUGACGUCAAAUCAUCAUGCCCCUUAUGUUUUGGGCUACACACGUGCUACAAUGGCUGGUACAGAGAGCAGCAAUAGAGUGAUCUGGAGCGAAUCUUUAAAGCCAGUCUCAGUUCGGAUUGUAGGCUGCAACUCGCCUACAUGAAGUUGGAGUUGCUAGUAAUCGCAAAUCAGAAUGUUGCGGUGAAUGCGUUCCCGGGUCUUGUACACACCGCCCGUCACACCACGGAAGUUGGGGGCGCCCGAAGUCGGUCUAUAAUCAGGCUGCCGAAGGUGAAAUCAAUAACUGGGGUGAAGUCGUAACAAGGUAACC
rnacentral:rRNA from 1 species